GUUAAUCGGAAUUACUGGGCGUAAAGGGUGCGCAGGCGGUUCGGAAAGAAGGAUGUGAAAUCCCAGGGCUCAACCUUGGAACUGCAUUCUUAACUGUCGAACUAGAGUAUGUCAGAGGGGGGUGGAAUUCCGCGUGUAGCAGUGAAAUGCGUAGAUAUGCGGAGGAACACCGAUGGCGAAGGCAGCCCCCUGGGAUAAUACUGACGCUCAGGCACGAAAGCGUGGGGAGCAAACAGGAUUAGAUACCCUGGUAGUCCACGCCCUAAACGAUGUCAACUAGUUGUUGGGCCCUUAGUGGCUUAGUAACGUAGCUAACGCGAGAAGUUGACCGCCUGGGGAGUACGGUCGCAAGAUUA
rnacentral:rRNA from 1 species